GACGAACGCUGGCGGCGUGCUUAACACAUGCAAGUCGAACGGAAAGGCCCUGCUUUUGUGGGGUGCUCGAGUGGCGAACGGGUGAGUAACACGUGAGUAACCUGCCCUUGACUUUGGGAUAACUUCAGGAAACUGGGGCUAAUACCGGAUAGGAGCUCCUGCUGCAUGGUGGGGGUUGGAAAGUUUCGGCGGUUGGGGAUGGACUCGCGGCUUAUCAGCUUGUUGGUGGGGUAGUGGCUUACCAAGGCUUUGACGGGUAGCCGGCCUGGGAGGGUGACCGGCGACAUUGGGACUGAGAUACGGACCAGAGUCCUACGGGAGGCAGCAGUGGGGAGUAUUGCACAAUGGGCGGAAGCCUGAUGCAGCAACGCCGCGUGCGGGAUGACGGCCUUCGGGUUGUAAACCGCUUUCGCCUGUGACGAAGCGUGAGUGACGGUAAUGGGUAAAGAAGCACCGGCUAACUACGUG
rnacentral:rRNA from 1 species